CCAGGCACGGUGUGGUGACAAAGAGCCAGUCCUUGGGGGGGACUGCCCCCUUUGAACUGCCCUGGGUUCCGGCUGGCGCCUCUGAAACUCACUUCCUCCGGGAGAAACCUCCAGAAUGGAGAUUGGAUGGGGUUGGGGGAGCCGGUUCCUACCUCACACAUACAAGUAAAAAUCUGAGUAAACGACCAGCUGCUUGUGUUCACAGUUUGAGAAAACGUCCCAGAUUCUCUCCCUGCAGUCGGUGAUGGCUUUCUUACCUACUUGGAAAAUGAAGAGAAAAGAAAAUAAGCAUGUAGUAAAACAGAGUAAACUUGAUUGAAGAAUUCAUGCAUUUAACUGGUUACUUGUUGCAA